GAAGAUGACGACGCCAAUUUUUUUUUCUUUUUUUCGUAAAUAUAUACUUAGUAUAAUACUCUUAUAUUAAAAUUAUACCGUGCACGGGUGCACGUUUUAUUUACCCGGAAAAUGUGGUUCAAGCUUUUAGUUUCUUAAAGCGUAAAUUAAAAAAAAAAAAGUUAUUAUUUAUCAAUUAUUACUACAAAUCAAUCAAAUAAUUGUCUACGGAUAUACAAAUUACAAUGAGUGCGAAAAAUAGUGAUAAUGACCGUUAUAAAAAUGAAUAUUCGAGAAUAAGGAAACUGACGAGUAGAUAUGAUAUACGGACUCAAUCAAAUGAAUUUGGUUUGUCUGAAGAUCAAGUUGCUGAAUUCAAAGAAGCAUUUAUGUUGUUUGAUAAAGACCACGAUGGACGAAUUACUGAGGCAGAACUAGGAGUGGUUAUGCGAUCUCUGGGACAGAAGCCUACUGAAACUGAUUUGAGAGGUAUGGUUAAAGAAGUGGAUAAAGAUGGCAAUGGUAGUAUUGAAUUUGAUGAAUUCCUACUAAUGAUGGCAAGAAAACUAAGAGCAGUAGAUGGUGAAGAAGAAAUGCACCAGGCAUUCAGAGUAUUUGACAAAAAUGGUGAUGGUUUCAUAACAUUUGAUGAACUCAAACGUGUUAUGUGCAGUAUCGGAGAACGACUUACCGAUGAGGAAAUUGAGGAUAUGAUAAAAGAAGCCGAUUUAAAUGGCGAUAAAAAAAUUGAUUAUAAUGAAUUUAUUACAAUAAUAAGUCCUAAGAAAUAAAUCAAAUAACGAAACAUCAAAAUUGUAAUGCAAUACCAUUUUUUUACAUGUUCUGGUAGCUAAAUAUUCACGAUAAAAUUCUGGAGCCAUUGGACACCAUACUUCUGAACACUGAACUUUGGCUAUAUAACCUUUUUGUUGCAGUUCCAACCAGUUAGCUUCAUAUAAUUUAGGACCAAUUAAAAAGUUUAAAUCUGCAAUUUUAUCAUCUUCUCGUAAUAAUGUGGCCGUUAAGCCCAAUUUGCAAUGUGAUUGAACUAGUGUCAGUACACGUCGGAACAUUUUAGCUGGUAUGUGAUUAAUGCAUCAGUAUCCUCCAGCCUUUUAAGACGACAAGAACCAAUAACAGGAUCUUUAAGAAGCUUUUGUAAGAUAUCUGGAUGUUGUGAUUCAAUGAAGUAUCGAUUAUGUUUAAGUACAAGCUUAACUUUUCCAUAAGAAAGUGUACAGACAGUUAUAAACUCUAUUAUACCAUCAGGUAUACUUGUUUUACUCAAACGUUUCAAGUAUUCAAUUAUGUCUUUAGUCUCUAAUCCAACACUUACAGCUGCAUACAAUGAAUAAGCAGUUAAUUUAUACUGAAAUUAAAAAUCAUAUUUAUAAUUAAUGUAUUAGAAUAAUAACUAUCAAGUUUUAGAUAUUAUACAAAAUAAAUAAAAAUAAUCAAAAA